UGGCUUACCUCCUCAUUUGUUGGUCAAGGCUUUUUAGCUUUAUCCAAUUGUGGGUUUCCUGUGUUGUGUACUGAUGUUAUGGUAUUAUCCUUGGUUGAUUUAUGUCCCUUUUCGUUGUGCCAAUCAUAUGGCAUAUGAUGAACGUGUUAGCUUGCUCUUUGAUUCACAGUGUUUAUGUGUGCAUUGAUGUUGUGGCUCAUUGAGCAUUGCUUGGUAUCAUGGAUACAGAACAUAUGUGGGCAUUGGAUCUUAAGGAUCUUUCUUUUGCUCUCAUUGAGUUGAUACGCUUCUAAAAAUGACUACUUGUAAUGUAUGGGCUUGUACCAGCAUGCGAGUUUUGUCAAUAAGGAAUGCUACCUGGUUGAUCCUGCCAGUAGUCAUAUGCUUGUCUCAAAGAUUAAGCCAUG
rnacentral:misc_RNA from 1 species